UUCUAGCCCCGAUGGAAGCGGCAUCCUGCGCGCCACGAAAGUGGCGCGUAGAUAGAGCGGACAGCGGGAACCGAC
rnacentral:sRNA from 1 species